AGCGGAGAAUUUCCAAAUCCGUGUUCUGUGGGAUAUCAUUCAUUUUUGGAUCCGGUCAUUCCAGCUCGUAUAAGCAACACUGCCUUUAAUUUCUAUAGGAAAAUUCUCCUGAACUAGUAAUAAAGAAAACUAGAAAGAGAUCAAUGGGAAUUAGGAUCGAGAUUGUUUUGAAAAAAAAUCGAAGUUUCUUUUCUUUUCGGAAAGAAAGAUUUUGUUUUUUUCUUUUCUUCCUAUAGCUACAGUCCUAAAGAAAAUUUUCCCAUCUUCUUGUGAAACCAAAGAAAGGGGAACGGUGACAAGCAAAAGCUAACAGCUUAAUAAAACUUGAUUAGCAGAGAAAUUUUGAAUUCACAAGAGCUUAAACCCACCAGGUGUUUCCCUGGAUUUUGAUUUCUGUAUGCUUUUUGUUUUUUUGUUUUCACCAGAGAAAAUCGAAGCUUGCGCCUCAUUUAAAACUUUCUUGGAUUUGCUUGUCGUCAAUGAUAUUUGUUUCCGUGUCUCCAUAGAGCUCCGUUACUAUUUUAGUGUGCAGUUUGCUGAAGGGUUUAGUUUCUUGAUGUUUGCUUCUGGCGGUGCAGGUAUGGCGGAUAAAGGGGUAAGCUCAGUACCAUCAACAAACCCAUCGUGGCUUCUCCGUUCAAAUCCUUUGGUUCAAUGGCGGUUUCGUGUACUAACAGCUCUGGUUUUUGUUGGAAUGGUUGGUGUUUGGAGUAUAGAUGGGUUUAGUGUAAAGAAUGUUAUUGAAUCAUGGAGGUUCAAGCGAGAGUUCCUUGGCAGGAGAUUCAACGUACAACUUGUAAAACCCACAAAUCUUACCCGAGAAAUCCAUCAAAAUUUCAUUAACAACUUAAACACCACCAUUUUCCUGUUACCCCAGCAAAAUACUACCCAUACCCCUACCACUAGCAGCAGCAGUCCUCCCAGUUACAGCAUACUGAACAACGACGAUAAUAAUGUCUCUGCUCAGAAUUAUUCAGAUGGGUUUCUGGAGAAACGAACUGAGAGAGAAUCAGAAGAAGCUAAACUGAAGUGGGUACCAACUGAUUUGAACCCAAAUUUCACUUCAGAGGACAGUAGCGUUUCGGCUCAGAGUUCUUCGGAGGAGUUCCUGGGGAAACCGAAGGUUUACGAAUCAGAAGCCAAUGUAAAGUGGGUAUCAACAGAAUUAGAUCCACGUUUGACUUCAAAGCUUCUUUCUCGGUGGUUUGCUCGUGGAGGUGAACCUUGCAGAAAUUUACGUACAGUGGACAUUGUGAUUCCUGGAUUGGACGGCCACGAUUCAAUUGAGUUAUCAGCUGGGAAUACUCAUGAAUUUAUUUUCCAAGCAGUGGAUGAGUCCAAGAAUCCUCGAUGUUUAGGUGGAGAUUACUUUGAGACAGAUCUUUCAGGGGUUGCAUGGAAGUCUCGGCCAUUAAUAAAAGAUUUUGGAAAUGGGUCUUACUCCAUUUCGCUUCAAGUCCAUCCAGAAUUUGCUGGUGACUAUCAUCUUACUGUAAUUUUGCUUUUCAGGCAUUUUGAGGGUCUUAGAUUUUCGUCUAAACGAUUUGUGUAUGAUAAAGAAUUGCGUAAGGUUCAAAUCAGGUUUAUUAAAGCUCAUUAUCGGUUACCACAAUUACAAAUUUGUGAAAAAUCUGAUUUCACUAGAGAUCUUUGGGUAGGGAGAUGGACUAGGCUUGGGAAGAAUGAUGAUUGUGAAAUCAGUAAUGAUGGGAGGUAUCGGUGCCUGGAACCAUAUUUUCCCUGCCAAAGUCCAUGGUGUGAUGGUUCCUUAGGCUUGUUAGAGAGUAAUGGUUGGGUUUAUUCUAGUCACUGUUCCUUCAGGCUGUUUUCAGCUGAUUCUGCUUGGAAUUGCCUGAAGAAUAGGUGGAUUUUCUUUUGGGGAGAUUCGAAUCAUGUUGAUACCAUAAGAAACAUGCUCAAUUUUCUCUUGGAUUUGCCUGAAAUAAAAUCUGUUCCUAGACGGUUUGAUUUGAUUUUUUCAAACCCAAAAGAUGCAUCUCAAUCAGUUCGAAUUACCAGCAUUUUCAAUGGUCAUUGGAAUGAGACUCAGAAUUACCAAGGAUUUAAUUCUUUGAAGGAUGAAGGAUAUAGAAAUUUGUUGAAGAAGUACUUCUCUGAGGACACUGUACCAGACGCUAUAAUCAUGAAUUCUGGCUUACAUGAUGGAGUAUUUUGGCCAACUAUCAGAAAAUUUUCAGGUGGAGUUGAUUAUGCAGUUUCAUUUUGGAAAGAAGUGAUUGAUUCUGUUAAGCAAAGAGGAUCAAUAGUUCCUCAAAUCAUUUAUAGAACCACCAUAGCAACUGGUGGGUAUGCAAGGGCACUAGCAUUUAAUCCCAACAAGAUGGAGGCAUUUAACUGGGUGGUGUUAGACAAAUUCAGACGAGCCCAAUUGCUUUCUGGGGUGAUUGAUAACUUUGAUAUGACUUUUGCAUGGCAUUUUGACAAUCGUUGCAACGAUGGGGUACAUUAUGGAAGAGCUCCAGCAAAGAUGAAGUGGAAGGAUGGUGAAAUCGGACACCAGUAUUUUGUGGACCUCAUGUUGGCUCAUGUGCUGCUCAAUGCUCUGUGUGCAAGAUAGUAAAUGGAAGUGGCUGAAUUGUUAUUUGGAGGAAGGAGCGCUAACAUGGCGGCUUUGUGAAGGAAGAGAGAGCCAGGCAGGAGUUGGAAUCCCCCCCCAAUUGAUGUGGUUUAAGAGCGUUGUUGUUCCUUGAUCUUUUCCAAAUCUGUACUAUCCACAACUAGAACAUAGCAGAAGGAGAACGGUGGUAGUUCGUGCACUCCCUUUCCUCUCGUUGGCAUCUUUUGAUUUGAAGGUUGUUUUGUUGACUUUGACGAUGGUGGAAGUGUCUUCCAUUACAUAAAUCAAGGAUUAUUUUCUAUGUACUAUGGCAAUGCUUGUUUGCAUGUAUUAGUUGGUAACCCAAAAUCAUUGAACAAGAUGUGCUUAAAGAUUUCCUAAUCCGAAAGGAAUGAAGCAUCUUCUCUUUCAAAUUUGAGGUUGCAUGUAAUACCUGAGUGUUCAUGGGUUCUUCUUCUUAAUGGAGCUACAGGUUGCGUGAGAGUACUAUUUCUCCUGAACUUCAAUCUGUUUUGUAAAGUCUUUAUAGCUACCAUUGGAGAUUUGUUCAAGCCUAGAUUGCGAUCUGGUUCUUGGGUAGGCAACAGUUUCAUUGGGAGAGACGACAAUGAAGAAAUUUGUAACCAGAUCAUGGUUUUGGAUAUAAGUUGUUCGGCUUGCUAACCGAGUCUUAAGAGUUCCUUUCUCAAUUAGAUUGUUUGUAUUUUUUAUGGGCCCUGAGUUAAUCUCUAACUUUACCUCAACUCUAUUUUGAUGGAUUUUA